ensembl:lncRNA
AUGCGAGUCGGCCGCUGGAGUUUCAGGCGCCUUCUCAAAUGCUCUUUUGGUUCCUGGAUCCACCCCCUGCCCCCCCACCCUCCGCCGUCCUCCUCUCUGACUUCGCCGUUUGCUGCACUUGUUGUUCCGCCUGUCUUUCGCCCCUCUUCACCUGUGCCCCUCCUCUCCCCAUCAGCACAGCCGCGGCUCUGGCUUCACUGGCCGGCUGUAAUCCUGCUACACUCCGUGUCACAGGAAGGGCUUGUGAGCUCUAAUCAUUAUGUAGUAAGGAUUUAUCCUCCUCUCAUUCUCUCUCUCCCUCCUCGCCGGCCGCCUCCCUCCACCCAUCCCGUUUAUUUCCCUCCCUCCGCUCUCAGCUCGCCGGCCGACCCACAACUCUGGCUUUCAGCCGCCGGAUCAUUGUGCAGCGUCUCACCUCGCUCUCCUCGUGAGACCCAUCCUUUUUGUUUUUUGACUUUGUCGACCCGUCACGGUCGAUGCGUUAUCUUCUCUGCAGCUCACAUCAACAGGUUUGUCCUUGAUGCUGCUCUUCACCUUUGUCAUCCACAUGCCAUGAAUGUGUGCCUAUGUCCGUGUUUCAUUCCCCUUUACAUGUUUUGGGUCAAAGUCUUUCCUGGAUCUGCUUCAGUUGAACCUCCUGUUGGACAAAGAACAAACAACCGUCCCUGGAGAUCAGCUUGUAAUUUCUCGGAUCUUUUACAGGAAGUUUCUUUCCUCCAAACGUUCCCCACUGCUCAACGCGUCUCUGCUCGUCACUCCCCCUCAUCGCGUUGUGGCAUUGAGCCCGCGGGUCGUGUUCAGCCUAAAUGUUUGAAAGGUCGCGCUGUUGUUCAGGACAUGGAGCUGCACCCAGGUCAGUCCACACGGCCAGCGCAGCCCGUCUGCAGGUGACUCACGUCGGCUCUUGUGUCACAAAUUCACAAGAACCUUCAGGCCUGAAGCUGUUUUGCUCCAAAUUGCUCGGCGGGUCGGGCCCCCAGCGCUUCAUGGAGCACGGAGAGGACAAUUGCAUCUGCUGCUUUACAUGCAAGUGGGGUUUCUACAACACCUGCGCUGCGUGGUCCAGUUUACUUAGAGCGAACUGUGGUUUUUACUUGGGAUUCUCAUUAAGCCACACAUAGCGUCAUUAGCGCCAACAUUAGGACCAAAUGAGUUCAAUGUGGGUUUGAGACCACGAUUAUGGCAACAAUUACUUUGCUUAUCAUGACCCCUCUGGUAUUUACCAAACCAGGUGGUAUUAGUUUUUCUCAGUCCCUUUAGUACAAUUCUCAGAUCAGACUAAAAUUCUCAAAACUACUUGUUCAAUCUUCACAUCAUGAUGUCACUUGUGCAGAUCAUAUAAGCAGUUCCUCACUUCUUUGAACAAGUUGAAACUGCUUUGGUACGUGCAUUCAAAUGAUUCUGUACAAAUCACUGCUCUUUGCUACAUCAUCAAUUGUUUAUGUCAUGUUGAUCAAAUGUAUUAUAUAGUUCACUGUGCAAUAGUCUUACUCCUCAAAACAUCUAGUCAUUAGUUCGCAUGUAAGUCAUUAACUGCAAAAUGGUUGAACAAGUUGUCAUAAUGUGACAAACAUAUUUCUAUACAUCUACAUUAUGUUUUUUUUCUAAAUCUGUCCUGAAUUGGUAAAUUGCUCUCAGGUGACUUGACUUUCUCUAACACAGGUGCGUUCCUUAUCCCUAUUGAGCAAUUUUUCUCAGCAUGGAGAUGGAAGGUUUAUGAUCGCCAGCCACAUAAACAAAUGACAUCACAGCAGACGCCUGCAGAGGCUGAUUUAGACACUCCAGAAGAUUCUUUCAACGCUGCAUUGCAAGAAAAGAAAAAAAAAUUCUCUGUGAUGUGGAUGAGAACGUGUGGCCCAACAUACAGGAACGACGGGGUGUAGGAAGACAACACCUUCCUACAGCACCGCAUGUACAGUCUUUUUUUUUCUCUUUGUGUUACUGUUUGCAGUGUUUUUUUUCUACAUUGUAUGACAUGGUCCCUCAACAACUUACAAUAAUUGUCAUCAAAACUUUAGCCAUAGUUUAUAUCAGAACCUCCCUCUAACGUACACAGUUAUAUUGACAAUAUGACUAAGUAAUUUGACUGUGUAUAGACAAUAUGUCUAUACACAUAGACAAUGACACAAGGACUUGACAUUCUGAUGGCAAUGACAUAACAACUUAAAAUGAUUUUGAGCAAGUUACAGGCUUUUGCAAGAAAUUCCUAGUGUUUUGCUGUUUGUACAAAUUGUUUUGAGAAAUGCACACACAUAUUUGCAAACUUGAAUUCUGAUCUGAGAAUUGUACUAAAGCGGCUGAGAAAGUUGUAACAGCUCCUCCAGUUCUAAAAACUGUCAGACCUUGUUCAUAAACAUAGUUCUACAAAUUACACUAUGAAUUCAUGUUUGUAUAUGCUUUAUAGUAUCCAUCUAAUUAAACUGGGAGACACAGAUGUGUGAACAGGUUGAAACAUAGACAUAGUCACCAGGUCAGACCACAGGGUCAAUGGAAGAAGUAUGGCCCAAACAUGUGCUUGUCAGAGUGGAGAAUAAGUUCUGACUCUUUGCUGUGGAUGCAUGUGUUCUACAAUCUUCAGGGUAAUAAUCUAAUCAUCCUGGGUUGGGUGGCUCAAUUGGGGGAUGGCCCACGAAUGGCCUUCUAUAACUUCUAUAAGAGGUCCAGUGCAGGACCAGUAACUCUGGUCAUAAAGUCAAAUAUUGUAGUGGCUGUUUACCACAUUCAUUACGAAUCAGAAUCAGAAUCAGCUAAGUGUUCAUUGCCAGGUACAGUAACACUUUACACUACCACGAACUGGCCUUGGUGUCAGCUGCAUCUAAAAUAUAAACUACUAAAGUUACUAAAUUCUAGGUACUAUAUACUGUACACGGCCAUAGCGUUAAUCUAAUGCAGAAAAUGAAAUAGAAUGGGAAAGUACAUACAGACAAAAUGACUGCCAGUUGCCAUCCCACCACCACAUCCUGUGAGCUGAUGGCAUUUAGCUGGAGACUCCAGCCUCCUCCCUCCUCACCCUAACUUCACAUGUACAGUACACCACACUGGGGGAUGCUUGUUUACAGCACCAGUGACUCCAGUGAGCUGGCGACGUCAGAGCUUCAGGGGUGAUGCAUACUGAUGGGACACGUCGGUAAUGACUCCUGGAGCAGCACGUGAGAGCGUUGGUGUUUGGGUCAUAGAAGGCAAUGACAGCCAAACGUUGUGUUUGUCCACUAGGUGGUGAUGGUGACCCAGCACAUCCGGGACUGCAGCUCAAUCAACGAUUUAAAACAUUUAAAUGCCUUUGUUUCUUGUAUGGCUGCACAAAACAUUGUGGUUUGUGUUGAUGUCCGUGCCUCAUGGGAGGAAAAAAGUUUUCCUACCUACUGUUCUUAAGUCUGACUGGAGCUGAGCUGCAACUAAAAGGCAACUAUUCAAUAAUGAAAACGAAUAAAACUAAAAGUCUUUGUACUGUAUGUAGAUCU